UACGAAGGGAGCUAGCGUUGUUCGGAAUCACUGGGCGUAAAGCGCACGUAGGCGGAUGUGUCAGUCAGGGGUGAAAUCCCGGAGCUCAACUUCGGAACUGCCCUUGAUACAGCACGUCUUGAGUCCGGAAGAGGUGGGUGGAAUUCCUAGUGCAGAGGUGAAAUUCGUAGAUAUUAGGAAGAACACCCGUGGCUAAGGCGGCUCUCUAGUACGGUACUGACGCUGAGACGCGAAAGCGUGGGGAGCGAACAGG
rnacentral:rRNA from 1 species